AGUGAACGCUGGCGGCGUGCUUAACACAUGCAAGUCGAACGAGAACGGGUUAUAGCUUGCUAUAAUUGUCAGCUAAGUGGCGCACGGGUGAGUAAUGUAUAGGUAAUAUGCCUCUUACUAAGGGAUAACAAAUGGAAACGUUUGCUAAUACCUUAUACUCCUUAUUAACAUAAGUUAAUAAGGGAAAGAUUUAUUGGUAAGAGAUUAGCCUGUAUUGUAUCAGUUAGUUGGUGGGGUAAUGGCUUACCAAGACUAUGACACAUAACUGGUUUGAGAGGAUGAUCAGUCACACUGGAACUGAGACACGGUCCAGAAUCGUACGGGAGGCAGCAGUGGGGAAUAUUGCACAAUGGACGGAAGUCUGAUGCAGCAACGCCGCGUGGAGGAUGACACAUUUCGGUGCGUAAACUCCUUUUAUAUGAGAAGAUAAUGACGGUAUUAUAUGAAUAAGCACCGGCUAACUCCGUGCCAGCAGCCGCCGUAAAAC
rnacentral:rRNA from 1 species